rnacentral:rRNA from 1 species
AACGUAGGAGGCAAGCGUUAUCCGGAGUUACUGGGCGUAAAGAGUGCGUAGGCGGAUUGAUAAGUGGGUGGUGAAAGCGCCCGGCUAAACCGGGCGAGGUCCAUUCAGACUGUCAGGCUAGAGCACAGUAGAGGCAGGUGGAAUUCCCGGUGUAGCGGUGGAAUGCGUAGAGAUCGGGAAGAACAUCAGUGGCGAAGGCGGCCUGCUGGGCUGUUGCUGACGCUGAGGCGCGACAGCGUGGGGAGCAAACAGG